GUCAGUCCGCCAUGUUCGGUGCCGCGCCGGAGGAGUGGCUGCGACGUCCGGCUAAGGCACGCCUUCGCCGGUCAUCUCCACUUCCAGCCGUCGACGAACAGGCGUCCAAGGAGGCUGUGGCAAAGGUCUCCUCGCCGCCGCCCCUCUAAGGGUCCGAUUGUGCGAGUUCCACCGGCAGAGGAGUUCUCGCCUCGGCUGAGAAUUCCACCGUUAACCGGUAGCUCCGGCUUCCAAGCUCGGGCCGGUGGAGACGAAACGUGAAAGAGGAACAGCCUUCUCACAGCCGCGAUUGCCACGAGUUCACCGGACAUGGCGUGCCCUUGCCGGCCAUCUCCCGUCGGUCGUCAUCAGUGCGUCGACACGGUGGUCACGCGCCGCCGCCAUUCAGCCACUAUUCUCCCACCACUACGGCGUUCAAGCUUUUGCGGUGGGACACAGUUUCGAAGGGUCAGAGGCGCGCCGACUCGAAGCCGUGACACGACGCAUACGGCGGGAGACAGUUGGGCGCAACACCUAUCUCGUCGCCGCCCAACGGCGAACGAAGAUUUCCGGCAAAGGAUCUAACAAAGUUCGGUAAAACAAGUUGCCCAGCAAAAUCUCGAUAAACGCCUUGCGUUCAAGGAGAUCAUCCAUGUUUCCGGUGAAAAACUUCGAAAUACCAUAUUUCAAAUUAUUGCCCAGCAAUGUUCGUUUAUUUUGAAUCCCAAUUCAAUGAAUUAUUCGAUUCUAAAUUCAUACUUCAAAAUCAGAU
rnacentral:lncRNA from 1 species